rnacentral:misc_RNA from 1 species
UCCCCGUUGCCGGGGCAGUCUAUCUAGAAAAAUACAACUAGAUACAAGGGUUGCGCUCGUUAAUGGACUUAACCAAACAUCUCACGACACGAGCUGACGACGGCCAUGCAUCAUCUGUCACAGGGUUCCAAAAGGCACACUCUACUUUCGUAGUGCUUCCCUGGAUGUCAAGCCCUGGUAAGGUUCUUCGCUUAUCAUCGAAUUAAAGAGCAUGUUCCGCAACUUGUGCGGUCCCCCGUCAAUUCCUUUAUGUUUUAGUCUUGCGACCGUACUCCACAGGCGGGAUACUUAACGCGUUAGCUUCGCUACUGAAGGGGUCGAUACCUCCAACAGCUAGUAUCCAUCGUUUACGGCGUGGACUAC